UACGUAGGGGGCAAGCGUUGUCCGGAAUUAUUGGGCGUAAAGAGCGCGUAGGCGGUCCGGUAAGUCCGCUCUGAAAGUCCGGGGCUCAACCCCGGGAGGCGGGCGGAUACUGUCGGGCUAGAGUCCGGAAGAGGCGAGUGGAAUUCCUGGUGUAGCGGUGAAAUGCGCAGAUAUCAGGAGGAACACCGAUGGCGAAGGCAGCUCGCUGGGACGGUACUGACGCUGAGGCGCGAAAGCGUGGGGAGCAAACAGG
rnacentral:rRNA from 1 species